GCUGGGUAUGGAGGUGCAUGCCUGUAAUCCCAGUUACUGCAGAAGCUGAGGCAGGAGGAUUGCAAGUUCCAGGUCAGAAUGGGCAAUUUAGUGAGGCCCAGUCUCAU
rnacentral:sRNA from 1 species